CCCAUCAGAUGGCGUCUACCGGAAAUUACGUAACCGGAAAAACAAGACUUUUUUUCUCAAAACUCCGGAAAACAGUUGUUCUGCUGGAGGACAGUCUGCACUUUUUUUUUAUUUAGUAAAUUUACAAACAAAUAUGGCACUUUGACAAUGUUAAGUCCAAAACUCAAAUUCAAAAGGAGCAGUUAACUUGCUAUAACAUUUGUAAAUAUCCAUUAAAAGACAACAACAAGAAACAAAAGAGCAUAAAGAACAAGUUGAGUACAGCUUUCAAUGAGGGUACAGCAUUUAUCAUAGAAUUAGGAACUCACUUUGGAAGUUCAGCUAACAUGUUAUAUAGAUUUUCGCUAUAUUUGUUGAAGUGUUUCAGGGGUUUUAAAUAUAUUUGAAAUUCUAUUAAAAAACAUUGAAGACAGGGGAUGAUUGUAAAAUUCGUUGUUUAUGGAUGGAAAGUUUGGCUAAACAGAGGAUGAUAUUAUAGCAGAGUUCUUUAUCUUUAUUAUUGAAUAUAAUUCCAAAUAUUAUCAUAUCGUUAGUGAUGUGAACUAGGAUGGGUAUUUUAGUUUUGAUCCACACCUCUAGCUUUUUCCAGAACAAAUGUGUUUUCUGACAUUCGUAAAAUAUAUGAUCUACAGUUUCUAUGUGAUUUUCGCAAAAAGAGCAGUUGUUGCUAUCAAUAUUAAAACGAGCUCUUAACACUUCUUUUGAAGGAUAGAUUGCAUUCAUUAUUUUAAAGUGGGUUUCUUUAGCUUUCGGUGGUAUAGGUAAUUUUAGGUAGAUAGUUCUUAUUUUCUCAACAGACGUUUUAUCAAAUUUGUAAAUUAUGUUAUUUUCGUUUGUUUUUCCAGGAAAUAGAGAUUCAUUUAAGGCUGAUCUUAUUGUAAGAUUGUUGCAUUUUCUGUCAGUUAACAGAAGACCUUUAAUAGAUAAGAUAGGAAGGGUUGGAAUAGAACAUUGAUGUUUUAGAUAUUCUCGGGCUUGGAUGAUAAAUUGUUUUGGAAGUGCAUUAUGUAACCUGUUAAAGUCAAGUUCAGAAGCUUUAAAAUUGUAUCUUCUGCAGAGAUUGUCAUAAUUCAAGAGCUGACCAUCUUCAUCCAUUAAGUGUAUAAUAGACCAUAUAUUGUUAUCUAACUAAUCUUUAUAGAAUAGUGAUUUGUUUUGGAGCAAUAUCAAUUGAUUGUUCCAAAUGAUUAUAGAGUAUGGUGAGUAGUUAUGUACAUAUAUCAUUUUCCAAUACAAUAAAAUUUGUUUAUGGAACUCUGAAAGUUUGAUGGGGAGUUUGUUUAUUUUGUAGUCAGUUAGGAGAAGAAUGUUUUAGCCAGAAAAACAAGACAUCGGGUCAUUACCUUUGCAGGAAGUAGUUUGGAUUUGACGAGAAAAACCGUACAUGUCGUUUUUCACUUAGAUAUGUAUACAUAUCUGUUAUGUAUACAUAUCUAAGAGAAAAAUGAUACGGUGGGUCAUUACCUUAACCAGAAGUCAUUACUUUCACAGGAAGUAGUUUUUUUAAACAGAACUUACCGGAAAAAGCUUUUUUUUAUUUCAGUUUUUUUUUCUCUUCAAAUUUGGACUGGCAAACUUUUAAAUAACUUCAUUACCUACGUUGAAAAUUGAAUAGUAAAUCCCUUUGUCCUUCACACAGGGAAUUUUUAUGACAGUAGCACAUAUAUAUGAUAAUUACAAUAAAAGGCUGUAAAGUAAUAAAAAACAUGUAUGGAAAAAAAAUGAGAACACAUUAAACUAAGAAUUUUCUAGAUGUGCAAACAAAAUAGUUCUUGCUAAAUAUUCAGUUUUAUUGCUAAGCCCAAGAUGAACUUUUGACCUACACCAAUCGCUACAGGACUCUCAGAAGCAGUGAAAAACAUUUCAGCAACACUCCUCUUUCACCAGCAACAAAAAUUUGUUACAAAAUAUCCAUAACACUGUCCUAUUGUGUAUCACAGCAGCUCAUUGCAACAGAAUUUAACUACUACAGCUGAUAACUAUUUGGCUAGUUAGUAUUAUUUUGAGUGAAAGACAGUAAAACAAUAGGAACAAUUUCACAACCAUUUUAUUUUGGGUAGAAAUGAAUUCGCUGAAGCAUGGCUUUCUCAGCUGUUGCAUAUCGAUUCAUCCCCUCCCAUUUUUCCAACACUUUGUCACCUGAAAAAAAUGCACACAAGGAUUAAUUAAUACACUGUCAAAUGUUUUUGAAAGCCGUACAUAUUCAAAAAGCCAUACAAGGUUGUAAUACAUGUUGAGUUUCAUUUCUGCUAUAUCAGAAUGUUUGUUCAUGUACAGUUACAUUUUCCAUUUAUACAUUUCUGAAGCAAAAUCAAUUUUUUUUUGUUAUUACAUACCUUUUUUCAAUCAUUUAAACACAAUAACUUAAAAAUAUUUAGAGAUAUUGAAAGCUAAGCUUGUCAAGAAAAAAACUACAUUUUUGGGUGCACAUGACCAGUUCCAGUGUGGACCAGAUACUUAAAAAAUGCAUAAAACUGUCUUUUUUGAAGUUUCACAAAUCAGAAAAAGGUUUAACAAAUCACAAACUUUAUGCAUUCUGCCACGAGCCUAGAAUAAUCUAAAACAGAUUUGAAGAGUGCAUGUGUUGUAGUUUAUGAGCUAGAGUAGAUUAAACAUGGUCAGAGUGGAGAAAAAUUGGGUGUAUUAGCCCUUUAGCCAUUUCCCAAAUCGGAACCUGGAAUCGGAAGCUAACUUCAGCCUCAUAUGAAAACUAGUGAAUGAAACCACUUACAAAUUUCUGAAAAUCCAAGGCUUUUUAAUAAAAAAUAAGGAUAUUAAUAACGUUUCAGUCAAGUCAGUAUUAGAAAUCGUGGUCUUUAUAUCAUAUCUCAAUUAUAUAUAAAGUUAAUAUUAUUACUUUAACUGUUUUAACAAACAGGGAGAUCAGAAAAAUCAAAUAGCUAUGUUAAAGCUAAGCUACAAUUGCUGACUGCUUUAUUGAUGUAGCUUUUGUGUUAGCUUGUGAACUCCCUGCAUUAGUUUUAAGACUGCGUGUUAAUAUUGAUACAAUAAGCUAUGAAACACGGUGACUUUGCAGCAAUUCUCUGGUAAAGCUUUAAAUGCUAUAGUGUCUACAUUUAAGAACUAAGAACGGUUACAAACAUUAGUUAAUUUCAUCCUUACCUUUCCUCUUUGAAACCCACAGAGUAUGUUUUUUUUUAUAGAACACUUUUUAUACAACAAACAGGGCAAACAUUCUAUCAGUAUCUAAACGUGUUGAAUCAGCUUUUACCACAGAAUUACAAUAACAAACCCAAAGAAAAGGUAACUAACAUAAAAACAUGAAAGUGUGAGGGCCUUAUUCUUGAAGUUUGAAAAUAUCCAACAAAGAAGAUAGUCUCUGGGCAUCUCUCUUCUCCAUAUAAAAUAAACAUUUCUUAAACAGUUCCAAGUCCUUUUUCCAUCCGCUUAAAUGAGGCUUAACCUUGAUGAAUUUACAUCUGUGAAUACCGUAAAAUGUUUUCCCAGCAAAAUCAAAACAUUUACCAAGAAUUCUUGAUUUUUGUCCUUCAAAAACAACCCCACUUUUAUAGUAGACCAGUUAAAUGGACUUACUGUUACAUGCUUAGACAACAACCAAGUGUGAACAGAACACCAAAAAUCUUUGACACACUCACAUUCAAAAAAAAUAUAUUCAACAUUUUCAGUAUUACUUUCACAAAAACCACAUGAAUUAUUCAUCCAGUUAAAUCUAACAUGUAGAAAGUUAUUGGAUGGAUAAAUAUUUAAAAUUUUGAAUGUUACCUCCUUCGCUUUAUGUGGGAUUGGAUAGGACAAAUAUCUCUUCCUUAUUUUCCUUCUCUCAGAUUCAUUAAAGUCAUGUCAAAUAUAUUUCCUUUUUAGCUGGUAAGGGUAAUGUUGGGUUGUAAAAAUCUUACAGGCAAAUUUGUUAGAAAAUUCCUUACUAUUUAAACUAAUUCCUUCUACACAGAGAUCUCAUCUCUGACCCCUUUGUAUCCAUCCUUGUUUGAUGAGUCAUCAUUUUGACAGGAACUGGAAUGGCUUUAACGACAUUCUUGAAUUCACUUGGUGAGCCUAUCAGACCAAACUUAUUACACAAAUCUUCAUAUUUGAAAAGAUUGCCUUGCUCAUCCAAUAAAUCAGAUAUCACCCAAAUUCCUUUAUCCAACCAACUUUCAAUAAAUAACGAUUUGAUAGAAUAUAUCUAUUGUUCCACAAGGGUGAAUUGUGUGGGGUGAAAUUAUGCUUGAUUAGGUUCCAGUAAAGGAUAACUUGUUUAUGAUAGUCAGAUAGUUUUAUAGGUAAUUUUCCUAUAUCGUAGUCACAACGCAACACAAAUUCUAUCCCUCCAACUUUCUGAAAUAUUGCACUGGGAAUGCUGAACCAAUGACAUGGUUUGGGGAAUGCGUUUAACCCAAGACAUGCAGAAUCACACACUCACAGAUCUUAUGGUAAAAAAAAAGAAUCUUUAUUUUAAAACGGGAACUGAAGGUGCACUGGAAAAGCCCAGGGGAGAUCGAGAACAGGAGCACAGCAUCUGAGGAGGGGAGAGCAGAUACACACAGUAAAUUUCGCAGUGUUAAAAAUGCUGUGUCAAAUAUCAUUAACACUUUCAGAGUUUUUAUGACAACAUAUGUUGACCGCCCCCUAGUGUUGGUGAAAAUAUCCGGAGUUAUAAUGGGAAGCGUUAAUGUGACUCCAGAAAGCUCCGCCCACCUGUCCUGACUCUAACCGUCCAAGAUUUCAGCAGCGCCACUGGACAUUUUUCUCCAUUUCGGGUUCAAUCCUACUGAGGGAAGGACAGCAGAACCAUGUUGAUUAAGGCCAAACUUGGUGAUGUUCAGAGAUUUAUCAGAAUAACCGAGCCGAAUCUGAAAGAGUUUUUGACUGCAGCAUUCUCAAAGUUUGGUGUGCCAGCUGUGACGGAAGGUGUCAAGGUUUUUGAUAGUUCAGGAACCGAGUUGGAUGAAGAUGAAUUUGAGGAUGUAGUUAAGGAUCCAUCAGCUGGAGUGCUAACCAUCAGAUAUGAUUCAGAAUCCAUCUCAGUGACACCAUCUCCUGAGCAGUCUCAACUACUUUAAAAUGAGUUGUCUGGCUCCCAAGAAACGAUCAUCCUCACAGAGAGUCCUUCUCGUAAAAGGCUGAGGCUCGACACAGAAGCCAAACAUUUGGUGAAUUCCAUUCUUGCCAAGAAACCUGGUGGGGAACACAUCAUAAAUGAAUAUAAUCGAUUCAAGUCCCUGUCAGAUGACACCAAAAGGAAAAUGGUGAACAUACUGGUAGCUGACAUGACAGAGAAAUUUGGGUAAUUUGUCGAUUGUCUAAAGCCACACUGGAAAAUCUGCCAAACAAGUUCGCUCAAAAAAUUUUUUUUUCAUGCUUCUUAACAUUCUAUUAUAGUAUGGUUAUAAAUAUUUUUGGGAGACAAAAAAGAAAUAAUGAAGUGCUUCUGUUGAAUUUGUCUAAAAUCCUCAACCAACAACAUGGCUUAGUCCACAACCAGUGAUUGGACCAUCUGCUCUUCUGUCUCACCGAACCACAACCCUUUCCUGAAUCGUACAUUAAUUACACACUUGUGCAUUUUUGCAGCAGAACACCAAUGGUGUGAGAGGUUCUCCGCUCUAAUAUCAGAGAAGGACAAACAGCCAGCUGCUACCACCAACUUAAGGACAAACUACCAAAAUGAAAAACACAUUUGGAUGUAGAAAACGGCGACUGAUGUUUAGCGCCCUCAGUAGGGAUGGGUACCUUUGACAUUUGAAUUGAUAUGG